GACGAACUGUCCUAACGUUGUUCGGAAUCACUGGGCUUAAAGGGCGCGUAGGCGGUCCGACAAGUCAGGGGUGAAAUCCUGCAGCUUAACUGCAGAAGUGCCUUUGAUACUGUCGGUCUUGAGGGAGAUAGGGGUGUGCGGAACUCACAGUGGAGCGGUGAAAAUGCGUUGAUAUUGUGAGGAACGCCGGAGGCGAAAGCGGCGCACUGGAUCUCUUCUGACGCUGAGGCGCGAAAGCUAGGGGAGCAAACGGG
rnacentral:rRNA from 1 species